GGGCGCAAGCCUGAUCCAGCCAUGCCGCGUGCAGGAUGAAGGCCUUCGGGUUGUAAACUGCUUUUGUACGGAACGAAAAGACUCUGGUUAAUACCUGGGGUCCAUGACGGUACCGUAAGAAUAAGCACCGGCUAACUACGUGCCAGCAGCCGCGGUAAUACGUAGGGUGCAAGCGUUAAUCGGAAUUACUGGGCGUAAAGCGUGCGCAGGCGGUGAUGUAAGACAGAUGUGAAAUCCCCGGGCUCAACCUGGGAACUGCAUUUGUGACUGCAUCGCUGGAGUACGGCAGAGGGGGAUGGAAUUCCGCGUGUAGCAGUGAAAUGCGUAGAUAUGCGGAGGAACACCGAUGGCGAAGGCAAUCCCCUGGGCCUGUACUGACGCUCAUGCACGAAAGCGUGGGGAGCAAACAGGAUUAGAUACCCUGGUAGUCCACGCCCUAAACGAUGUCAACUGGUUGUUGGGUCUUCACUGACUCAGUAACGAAGCUAACGCGUGAAGUUGACCGCCUGGG
rnacentral:rRNA from 1 species